rnacentral:rRNA from 1 species
GUGUCAGCAGCCGCGGUAAUACGGAGGAUCCGAGCGUUAUCCGGAAUUAUUGGGUUUAAAGGGUUCGUAGGCGGCUUUGUAAGUCAGUGGUGAAAUUUCCUAGCUUAACUAGGACACUGCCAUUGAUACUGCAGAGCUUGAAUAAUAUGGAAGUAACUAGAAUAUGUAGUGUAGCGGUGAAAUGCUUAGAUAUUACAUGGAAUACCAAUUGCGAAGGCAGGUUACUACGUAUUUAUUGACGCUGAUGAACGAAAGCGUGGGUAGCAAACAGGAUUAGAAACCCCUGUAGUCC